rnacentral:rRNA from 1 species
UACAGAGGGUGCGAGCGUUAAUCGGAAUUACUGGGCGUAAAGCGUGCGUAGACGGUAGCGUAAGUCGGGUGUGAAAGCCCCGGGCUCAACCUGGGAAUUGCAUUCGAGACUGCUCUGCUAGGGUGCGGAAGAGGGAAGCGGAAUUUCCGGUGUAGCGGUGAAAUGCGUAGAUAUCGGAAGGAACACCAGUGGCGAAAGCGGCUUCCUGGUCCAGCACCGACGUCAGGCACGAAAG